rnacentral:lncRNA from 1 species
GACCACAUAGUUGUUAUUUUCGAUGUCAUUGCUUAUAUCCAUCUUUUUCUCUGUCUUCGCAGGUAAUAGAGUUCAAGAAGAGUUCUACAUUUGUUUUUUAUUCUAAAAAUUAGGAUUUUUUAGUUAAUGAUGAAAAAAAGACUUUUAGUUGUAUUAUCUUUGAGAAUGGAUUAACAAUUUUGUGUUUUGAUGCUAAAGAAGUAGGAAGCACCCAAAAAAACUCUAGUUUUGUCACAGUAUUUUAUUGACUGUCGUGGUAUUGUUGGAUGAUGUUUGUGGUGUUUGUUGGAGGAUGUUGUUGUAGGU